UACGGAGGGUGCGAGCGUUGUCCGGAAUCACUGGGCGUAAAGGGCGCGUAGGCGGCCUGAUAAGUAGGGGGUGAAAUCCUGCGGCUUAACCGCAGGGCUGCCUUCUAAACUGUCAGGCUGGAGCACAGUAGAGGCAGGUGGAAUUCCCGGUGUAGCGGUGGAAUGCGUAGAGAUCGGGAAGAACAUCAGUGGCGAAGGCGGCCUGCUGGGCUGUUGCUGACGCUGAGGCGCGACAGCGUGGGGAGCGAACCGG
rnacentral:rRNA from 1 species